GGGGGCGAAAGGCUUCGACAGGAGUUAUAGGCGAGUAGGAUGCACGUCGGGUUUGCUUUCGGUGACCCGUAAAAAACCGAAAGGAAAAUAAAUGCCAACCAAGAAUUGGCACUCGCCGCUUAAUUGAGACAAGCGGCUGUCUCUGCUUGAGCUUGCUUGGGGCUUGAGCUGGAGGCAUGACACGAACCAAGCUGGCUUUUUGGGUUGCCGUCUGAAAUCCAAAAAGCGAGAAAUAAUCAGACUAGCCUUGUGCAUUCGGUUUGUCAGUUUUCCAUCAAGCACAAGGCGAAGCGUCGAAAAACUGACUAAGCGUGUAGAUUCCUCUGGUCUAAACUCUUGGAUGUGGGUUCGAUUCCCACCGCCUCCACCA
rnacentral:tmRNA from 1 species